AUAUAAAAAUUGGUGGUGCAUUAUUCUAGUUACACUAUCUAUUGCGAGGGUGGGGCUAAAAAUCCACUAAAGGGCGUAUCGAUGAAGUUUCUUGUUUAUGCGCGGAAUGCCAGUUUUGUGUGUUUGCAGGGAGUAAGAUUUUGGGGAACUAUGUAAUGGCAUACAUAAUAAUUCCCUACUGUCGCGGAGGCUUGAAAAGUAUAUAUGUUUCGAGUAAAACCUAUAUAAAGUGCCAAGACACAAUAUAUAGUGUAGCCUGUCUUGAGUGGUGGUAUUGGGAUUAACGCUAAAAUGUAAUUAAGCAAUGGCCAUUUUUUAAUUAUGCUUGAUUACCAGUUAUGAAAUUAUUACUGCAAAAGAGACUAGCAAUAGAUCAAGGGUAUUAAGGAAAACUUCUAGAGUGUUUGUGGAAAUUCCACAUGAAAGCUCAGGGAUUAAAGUACGGAUUUAAGUGGCUGUCUGGAAGCUAAAAAAACCAUUUUAGUUAUUUCUUUUAAAUGGAAACAGCUAAAUAGUAAUGUUUAGUAGGAAAUAGAGAAAGUCGUCUAGACCUAAACCGUAAAGUUUACUUGAGUUUUUACCACCAAUAAUUUUAUU
rnacentral:sRNA from 1 species